rnacentral:rRNA from 1 species
UACAGAUGGGGCAAGCGUUGCUCGGAAUUACUGGGCGUAAAGGGCGCGUAGGCGGGCUGGCAAGUCGGUCGUGAAAUCCCUCGGCUCAACCGAGGAACGUCGAUCGAUACUGCUGUUCUUGAGGAUUGCAGAGGAGACUGGAAUUCCCGGUGUAGCGGUGAAAUGUGUAGAGAUCGGGAGGAACACCGGUGGCGAAGGCGGGUCUCUGGGCAAUUCCUGACGCUGAGGCGCGAAAGCGUGGGGAGCGAACAGG